CACGUAGUUAGCCGGUGCUUAUUCCUCUGAUACUCUCAUCUCUGUAUGCUAUUAACACACAGACUUUGCCCUCAGAUAAAAGAACUUUACAACCCUAAGGCCUUCUUCAUUCACGCGGCGUUGCUGGAUCAGGGUUGCCCCCAUUGUCCAAAAUUCCCCACUGCUGCCUCCCGUAAGAGUCUGGGCCGUGUCUCAGUCCCAGUGUGGCUGAUCUUCCUCUCAGAACAGCUAUUGAUCAUCGCCUUGGUAAGCCUUUACCCCACAACUAGCUAAUCAACCAUCGGCCGAUCUAAUAGCGCCUGGACUAUCUCUAGCUCCCAAGCUUUCCUCCUCAGAGAUUAUACGGUAUUAGCUCAUCUUUCAAUGAGUUAUCCCAUCCUAUUAGGCACGUUCCGAUGUAUUACUCACCCGUCCGCCACUCGCCAUCAGGAGCAAAGCUCCUAUGCUGCCGUUGACUUGCAUGUGUAAAGCACGCCCG
rnacentral:rRNA from 1 species